rnacentral:rRNA from 1 species
UACGUAGGGUGCGAGCGUUAAUCGGAAUUACUGGGCGUAAAGCGUGCGCAGGCGGUCUGUUAAGACAGAUGUGAAAUCCCCGGGCUUAACCUGGGAACUGCAUUUGUGACUGCAUGGCUGGAGUGCGGCAGAGGGGGAUGGAAUUCCGCGUGUAGCAGUGAAAUGCGUAGAGAUCAUGAGGAAGACCAGUGGCGAAGGCGGGUCUCUGGACAGUUCCUGACACUGAGACACGAAGGCCAGGGGAGCAAACGGG